rnacentral:ncRNA from 1 species
CCCAUUGAUUUUAAGCAUAUAAUUAAGCAGAAAAGAAGAAACUUACAAGGAUUCCCCUAGUAACGACAAGCAAACUGGGAAGACCCCAUCAUGAAAAUCGGGUGGCAGUGCCACCUGAAUUGUAGUAUGUAGAAGCAUCCUUAGCGGUGGACUAGGACCAAGACCCCUGGAAGGGGGAGCCUGAUAUGAUGACAUCCUCGUCGGGUCGAAACCCUACUGCACUAUGAGGCAUUAUCGGCGAGUCGGUUUGUUUCGGAAUGCAGGCCUAAUCGAGUGGUAAAUUUUGUCCAAGGCUAAAUACGGGUGAGAGACCUAUAGAGAACAAGUGUCGCGAGGGAAAUAUAAAAAAGAAUUUGAAAAGAGAGUUAAAGAGUGCUUGAAAUUGUUGGGAGGAAAGCAGAUGGAGGUCAGCGAUGCAUCUUGGUCAGAUGUGGAAUGGCUCAAGCUGGUCCACCACUCGACUCAAGGUACAAACCAGCACAAGUCAUUGCAUCGGCACAAGUGCAGGUGGAGAAAUGCUUGUUGGUUUUCCGUUAUGGCGGUUGAAGAAUGAAGUGUGCGCCCCUUGGGAUGGGCCACUGUGCACCCUCAUGCUCGUGGUGUUGGUUGGCGGGCUUUGCAUUCGACCUGUCUUGAAACAAGGACCAAGGAGCCUAACAUUUGUGUGAGUCAGUGGGUUUGUAAACCUGUGAAGUGUAAGGAAGAUAACAGGUGAGAUCCCCUCUCCAUGGGUUGCAUUUCCGAAAAACCUUGAGCUUGUGUGAAGGGUUCAAGUGCGAGCACACCUGUUAGGACCCGAAAGAUGGUGAACUAUUCCUAAGCAGGGCGAAGCCAGAGGAAACUCUGGUGGAUGCCCGUAGCGAUAGUGAUGUGAAAAUUGUUUGUCUGACUUGGGUAUAGGGGCGAAAGACUAAUCGAACCAUCUAGUAGUUGGUUUCCUCUAAAGUUUCCCUCAGGAUAGUUGGAGCUCACGUGUGAGGUUUAUCGAGUAAAGAAAAUGAUUAGAAUCAUUGGGGGCGUAAUUCCCUUGACCUAUUCUCAAACUUUAAAUAAGUAAGAUGGUGUGGUUGGUCCACUAAUUCGUGCCAUGGAAUCGAGAGCUCCAAGUGGGCCAUUUUUGGUAAGCAGAAUUGGCAAUGUGGGAUGAACCAAAAGUCGAGUUAUGUUUCCAAACUGCGCGCUAACCUAAAUCCCACAAAGGGUGUUGGUUAAUUAAGAAAGUUGGACGGUGGUCAUGGAAGUCGAAAUCUGCUAAGGAGUGUGUAACAACUCACUUGCCGAAUCAACUAUCCCAAAAUAUGGAUGGCACUGAAGCGUGCAACCUAUACUCGAUCGUCAGAGAAAUUGCAAGGCUUCGAUAAGUAGGAGGACAUGGGGGUCGUUGAGAAACAUUGGGCAUAAGACUGGGUGGACCAGUCCUCGGUGUAGAUCUUGGUGGUAGUAGAAAAUAUUCAAAUAAGAACUUUGAAGACUGAAGUGGGGAAAGGUUCCAUGUGAACAACACUUGGACAUGCUUUAGUCGAUCCUAAGAGAUGGGGAAGCCCUAUAUCAAGGGUGCAUUCAGCAUGAACAUUGAAAGGGAAUCGGGUAAAUAUUAUCGAACCGGGACAUGGCGGCAGAUGACAACAUUAGGAAAUAUAGAGACGUCGUUGGAGGCCCCGUGAAGAGUUAUAUUUUCUUUUGCAUUGCGUUUGGGCCCCCAUAUUUCCAACUUGCCUUUCAUUGCAUUUGGGCAACCAUCUUUCCAACUUUCCUUGUGUUGCAUUCAGGUGCCCAUCUUGUUACUUCUCUUCGUGAAUUUGGGUGCCCAUCUUGCCAAAUUUCCUUGUGUUGCGUUUGGGCACCCCUCUUUCCAAGUC